ACCUCGUUUGGGAAAUGCUAAAUAGGGAAAUAACUGCAAUAUUAGUCUAAUGCAUAUUAACAUGGAUAAGAUGUAUGUGAAUAUAGUUACAUAUAAUUUAUAAAAUGAAGGUAGCAUAACUGAUUUUAAGCUAAAGAAAAUGUACCAUGACUUCUAAUUUAUCUUCCUAUUAGCUUCCUAUAAAGUCUAGAUAAAUGCAUGCAUGUGGAUUAUAUGUACCCCGUUG
rnacentral:lncRNA from 1 species